UGUAACAAUGACCACAAGAUACGACACAAAAAGGGAGCUGUCCUUCUACAAGUGCUUGAUCAACUGAUUUAAUGGAAAGAAGUUCAGAAUAUGAAGUGCAACAAGGGUAUGUCCAACACACUUUCUGUGACACUUGUCUUUGAAUGCGAAGGAUGUCCAAGAUUCCAGUGAUUGUAACAUGUCAAUAUGAUUACCUAAAAAAGUGUGAGUUAAUUUUUACAUGUGUCACAAGUACAGUCUGCAGAGACAAGCACUUCUAUCAUUGAGGGAAAGUCUGCAUUGUCAAGUUCUUUGCAUAGACAGAAAAGAGAUAAGCAAUGGGGUGUAUGGACCAGACCAGGAUUCAAGUCAGGGCUCCCUGAAUCAGUAGUCAUUUACUCUACCAAUUUAACUAUCUGGCCACCAGAAACUGAACCCACCUGUCCUGAAUGCCCUAUAUGGAUCUGUGGAACUCUGACAUAUCCAAGUUUUAUCAAUAAGAGAGGUUUUACUCCACCUAUGUCAAGUGACCAUAAUUUAACAAU